CUUUCACUAUCAGCUCUUAAAGAAAGCAUAUGAGGAAUCAAACUCAGUUGUUCAUCGUAUGAACAAGAUUUCUAAGCAGGAGAACUGACAGCCGAAUGCACACAGUGCCCUUCUUGUCUUGGCAGAAAUGUUGUCAACAACGUGAUGCAGUGGAUCUGUAUACCCUUAGAGAGGAUUCCUCUGCCCAAAUAAGAACAACUGAAAGCCAGGCAUGACUGCUCUGGGUUCCCUUUGCAGCCCUGAUUUAUUGCAUCCUAAGAUCCUUCAGACCUACCAUCAAGUCGCCAGCCCCAAAACACUCUCUGUGGAAACAAAACAGCUAUAAUGUGAAGAAAAAGAAUGAGUUUCAGGCUUCCAUCCCUCACCAUCGGGCUGCUGUGAUUCACAAGAGCCCACAGUGUUGCCUACAAUAUGAUAGGGGGUUUGGGUUUUGAUUUGGCUUGGUUUUGUUUUCCACUGCAUUAAAACAGCAGUAAUAACAGUGUCAUGGGACCAGCACCAAACAGAAGAAAUCCUGGCAAGUGAAGCUGUGCUCAUGUACGGCUCAAAAGCAACAAGGAAAGGAACUGUCCAGAGACUAAAGCAUUUUCAUGUUAAGACUUAUGAUUUAAUACUUGUUUAAGUUAAACAUUAAUAUGGGUAAAGUAACUUUCAAAACAGAGCCAGGGCAGAGUUGAUCCAAAAGUCAACAGAACAAAAGAGUCUGGAGCAAAACUCUGAGCCAAACCACUGAAGCUGAUAAUGUCUGGCAAGAACAUUCACCUCGGAGAAGAGCUUGAGGACAGCAAAACUCAGUACGAGACAGAAAUCAGACCUCGCCCCUUGCUGCCUGUCUCUGCCUUUAUUCUGACCAGAUGUGAAAGACUCAUGGUCUUGGAGGCCUGGGAUAUAAGCAGGCUGCAGGGUCAAUGAUUGCUUCUGCACUAAUGGAUUCAGCCUCCAGCCUGAGGUGCAGCUGACACAAGGACAGAAACCUUCAAGUGACUCUUUUUGGCCCAAACUGUAUUUACAGAGUUGAUCUUCAGCUUGCCAGCUAUUCGUUGUACUUCAGCAAAUUGGAGAUGCUUCCUGUCAUCCAUCAGUGUACCCAUGUUCCAUUAUUCUGGGCUAACAGCCUGUAAAAUGAAACAGCAAACAGAGCUUCAUUAAAACAAAGUAAGACACAUCCUCAGCUGGCAGGUUUGGGAGAUGAGGAAUCAAGCCCCAGCGGUUGCUCUUCCAGCUUCAUCUCUGAGGAUCUACAUGAGAAACAGGAUAAAAGUCCUCUCAGCUCUACGAACCUCAGUUUAUACAUUCAUCAAGUGGGGGCACUACUACUCAAGAGUCCUCAUAAGAACAUUAUGGAAAUGAAUUGCAGUUUAUACAGCAGUCUGUGACCUUGGGUUCUUCUCUGCAGAGCUGCUUUCCAGGACUCAGCACUUCUUGUUGAACUCAGGGAGGUUCCUGUCAGCCCUACUCUCCAGCCUGUCAAGAUGGCUCUGGAUAGCACCACUCUCUGGAAAUGGACUCGGACUUCGUGUGCUUGUUCCAUGGCUUACUCAGAUAGUCAUGCAGGAGCUGGGAAACAGUAGGAAGGAGCAAGGCAUGGAGCAAAGUAGAGGAGAAAAUGUGAAGAGAAAUUAAUAGGACUGAGAAGGACUCACCCACCCCUGCCCUUCUGUCCUCUGCAGUACCAACUGCAUGGAGCCUACCUUGUUCAUGCUUCUAACAUCAGCUAUUGGAUUAUCUUAUCCCCAGAUGGUUUCUGAUAGCAUUAAACAUUUGCCUGCAACAGCCUGAUGCUCCUUUCCAGGAGCACUCAGCUCAGCAGACCUUCUAGCUAGAUCAGCUCCUCAAAAUAAGGCACAGGGUGCACCUGCCACUGAUUGCACCAUUGAUGUGGCAACAAGAAUCUGCCUGCAUCUCUCUAACCAUCAUACAUUUGUCUAACCAGGCUGGGAUAUCGGUAACAAACUAGAUGUCACUAAUCAUGUAGGAUAUCAGAGCAUGAUGUCCAGGUUGGUUUAACUUCAUGAAUUCUGGGACUCGGAAGAUGAUUGAGACCUCAAAAGCCCAUUUUUGGCUCUUCCACUGGGUCUGUUGGCUUGUCUGUAGUCCUUGGAACAGGACAGCAUUCACUUCUGAGUUGGUCCCUUAUUGAUCAUUCUCAUAAUACACAGAGCACCCACAGGCUUAGUCCCACUAUCCCACCAUGCAGAGUUGGGUUGGGUAAUCUUCCCUGCCACAGCCAAAGCAUCUCAGUAGCUUUUGUACUUGAGCAGGAGCAGGAUGAACAAGAAGAAUGAACACUGAGACUUUUACCCUCAUUUCUUUGUCCCAUAAAGGUAAGUCUUUCUCCUGGAGUUUGGUCAUGUUGUGUUGUGAACUUUUUCCACUGGAGGCAUUCACCACCCCCUAGCUCUGUCCCCACUGACUCCACAGAACCCCAGCCCACAAUGGGAAAGAGUUACGUGAGCUUUUGGAAUUAAAGUUAGUUGCCUAAAUUACACAGACUGAGCCCCACCCAGACUCUCGAUAGUCAGAAGAUGGACAGCCAGUUCUGCCAGGGUAUGAAAAAUAAGAAAGCCAUCCUUAAGUGGUGCAUGGAAACAGUGAUGGAUUCAAACGAUUAGCAAAACUAAUGAACAGAAAUCUGUCAUAUUGCUGGGCAAAAUGUCACCACGGUAUGUGACUACGAAUGACUCAAUUGCUCUUUAAAGGAAUGCUUGCGUCUCUCAUGAUGCUGGGAAUCCUAAUUGACUAAUACUUUCAAAGCACUUGGAGCUGCUCAGAUGAAAGACUUCCCCGAAUGCAAAGUAUUACUACAUGUGAGGUUCAUGUCUGGAGCAAGUUUUUAAAACAAACCAUAUGAAAAGCAGAAUUAAGAGUGGAAAUGCUGAUCCAGCCAUUAUUUACUUCCCAUCGGAGAGUGGGCAGAGGGUCUCCUUUUAUGUUGUUUAUUUCAAACAAACAACUCUGGGAAUCUCCCGUGGAAAAGAAAUGCAAAAACCCAUGCCCUUUCAUGGGUAUUUUUGGUUUAUCUCCGCAUGAAUCUGAAAUUCAUCAUGUGGAGAGAAUGUGGAGAAACAUUUUUUUCCCCUGUAUACACACUCACUUUCCCACAAUGAAUAAAACCUGUUUUCUUGCAGUGUUUGUCCACUUCUUCACCCAAGGGUAACAAAAUGACCCGGAAAGCAGGAACACCCUGUCCAUGAACCCUGCUGGAAAAUAAAUAAAUAUAAAUCCAUACAUUCAUAAAUAAAGACACAGAAAAAGAGGGAUGACUCGGAAGGUUCCCAGGAAAACCAGCUGUGUCUAAUGCCGCCACCAUGGACACACGAGCCCCAGAGCUCCUAAUUCCUCAGCUAUUGCUCAGCAGUGAGUCAGAAGCUGUCACUGAGUGACUCACAGCAACUCCAGAAUGCAGCUGAGCUUGUGUCACCGGGCAGGCAGGCUUCGGGGAGUCUGAGUGGGGCAGGGGGGCAGUGUCCCUGCUGUUACUCUGCGCUCCAGUGACAGCUGCUGGUAUGCAGGCUGCCGUGGCAGAGGUGAUGGCACAUUCAGUUCUCCAAAGGCACUUUGCUUACGAUGCCGUCAUCUUUUCCACCCUCCUUCCAGCGCACACGCGUACACCUCACUCUACCUGAUUUAACUCUUCAGCUACGAAGAUUUCCCUGCUUGAGAUACGGCACCUAAGGAGGAGUUGGCUGUUGGAUGAGGCCCUUCUCUGGCUGUGUGGAAGUACUGAUCUAAAUCUGCACUGAAGGAGGCAGACAGCUACCACAAGAGCAUUCUCCCUGUGUUGAGAAUACCACUGGAAGCCUCCAAGAUUCUGCAUGGCUCCUCUGGCCUGUGCUGAUGUGCUGGCAGCUACUGCACGUUACAGCUGACACAAAGCCUUGAUGCUGACAGAGGUUGCAUGUGGUUUUGCUGCAGGCCAGCAGUCAGCCCCAGCGAUACCAUCCAGCCCUGCCCUGCUGCCGACCUUUCCUGCCACUUCUCACUUUUCAUUUGUUUGCUUUCUUUAUCAGCCCUGGCCCUUGUCAAUACAAAGCACAGAACUGGGUGUGUGGGAGUUAGGGAGGAGGCUGCAGCCCUCUGUGAACUGUUAUUUUCGGACAGAGAUUGGCUGCAGUCAUUUAUCCCUUGCCAAAGAGUUUAAAAACGGCACGCUUGCUGAUCCAGGUGAUUUUACGAGGAGGUGGUGCCUGCCAUUUCCCAUCACAGCUACUGAUUGCUAAUCAUACAGCUGAUAUUAUACUGCGGACAGCUGAGUUAAAGGGAAUUCCCGUAAGAGCCUCAUGCCAUACAGAUAACAGUUUCUUUAAGAGCCUGAAAAUUCUCAGACAGGUGAAUUUUUCCGCUCCAGGUUGGAUGGGGCCAUGGGCAGCCUGAUCUAGUGGGUGGCAACCCUGCCCACGGCAGUGGAGUUGGAACUAGAUGGUCUUUAAGGACCCUUCAACCCAAGCCAAUCUAUGAUUCCCUGAUUCUGUGAUUCCUCUUACUACAGUUCAUGUUAGUGGCUUGGCUGUUAGGAAGAUAAUCCUUGGGAUUAGGGUGAGGACAGAGUCAUACAUAAAUAUAGCAAAUGGAAAACGCUCCACUUGUCAUUCAUAAAGCUCUCCUUCUAGGAACGGAGGGGAUGGCUGCCGGUCACAGAGAGCAGGGCAAACAUGUCUCCUCUGUGCAGUUUGGUGUUUUUUUCUGAUUUUGUAGUAGUCAGAAACAGCAAUUUUUUUGAAGUCGCCUUUUCACACAUCUAAGUGAAACCUUAAAAAUCAGUUUGGCUAAGAAGGUAAUGAGUAUGAAGUAUAAAUUAUCAUCCUUCAUUAGAAGCUUUUCACCCUGCUUUAUCCCUUCAUCGUAUAGACUCAUGUUGCCAUAGAAGAAGCAGCAAUGUCAGAACAUGACUUAAAAUAAUUCCACUGAUCAAGUGUUAAUUGCACUCUUGUACAAUCAAAGCAGUCUGCUCAGGAACACGUUAAGCUUACCUUUGUGACAGCAAAUCAUUGCCAAACCCUCCUUUGGCCAAACUCUUCUGCAAACACUGUUAUAACAGUAAACAUUUUAUUGGCUCAGAGCUGGAAGGGACCAUUAAAACUCUGGUUACCAUAAAUUGUGACAUUUGUUGCACAGCAGCUGUACAUGUACAUGUUCCCAUUGCCACGGCAGAUGCAAGAGUGAAGUGGGUUAACCCAACUGUCUGCUCGCCUCAAGGUAACUCAGAAUGCUGCAGCGUAUUUUCACUUGUAAUUAAGCUGCCUCAAACUGCCCUCAGAGCAGCAGUGAUCGGGGAUGCGCAUGGAUGCUUCAGGUGGCACAAUCAUUUUACCCCUCAGUAACCUGUGUAAUGGCUUUUGUUCAUGGUCUGUGUCUUUGAUCGCCUUCUUGACUUCUUUAAUAUCACAAGGCAUUAUCAGGAUAUUUCAUCAUUUUGCGGGUUGCAAAGUCUCACUCAGCACCAUUUUUAUUAAUCCGUAGUGUUAAUGGAGUCUUUCAAUGGCAAAGAGUUUUCCAGCAAAAAUAAGGGAUCAGGACGGGCUUGUGGCCCAUUACUAGAUGCAAGGUCAAUUGUGCUCCUUCAAACGACAAUCUGACUUCUAAGGAAAAAGAUUAUGCCCAUACUUUCACCGUGUUAGAUGUAAAAAUGUACUCUUGCACUGUACUGAGAACUAUUUUUGCAUUAAAAAUGACUAAAAUGUGUAGCUGCAUCACAGCAGCAUUCUAGUCCUAUUGGAGCUAAUUGUGAAACCUGUAAUGCCUUCUAGCAGAGGAAGAUCAAAACGUAUGCAUAUAAACAAUACAGUGUUUAAAUAAAUCCAAGUUAUAAGCAUAUGUUUCACUAUAAAUUGAUUCUGUUGAUCUUAGAAAUCAAGAUGUCAAAUAAUGUGUUUUCCUCUCUGUACUGUCCAUUACUCUUCAGGUAUUUAGACACUGAGGGUCAUGCACAUGCAUUACAGGGUUAAUGCCAUGCUCAGGCCAUUAAUAGUAAGAUGGCAAGAAAACAGAAGAAAAAAAACCCACCAUUUAUGUGAGACAAGACAGGAGAAUUUAUUGACUGAAGUGUCUUUAUCUUCAUGUUCAUUUUUCAUUUUAAGAGGUGUAAGUAUAAACCAUCGUCAUUAUCAUUUAGAACCAAUCAAAGCCAGGAAUGACAUCCAAAGGUCUGAUUAAGGCUCUACUUGCAUGAUGCAGAUGGGUUUUGUCUUGAUGACAGAUAAAUCCCUCACUACUGAAGAAUAACAUCAUCAGAGCAGAAGUCAGGGAAAUAAACUGUGACAAAGAGAGCCAGUGAUAGAUGGCCAAGUGAGCAAGGGACUGACAGCAAGGACAUAUGGAUCCAGUUCUCAGCUCCAUCACUGUCUGAGUAUGUGACCAUGAACAAGAAGCCUGUGCAUAUUCCUUCAUCUGGAAUGUCCAUCAGACAAUAUGGACUUAGCACAAGAGCACGUUAGUAUUCCAGAAAAAGAUUUUGAAAUUUACCUCAUGGGACAGGCUGCAGUACUGAAGAUUUUUAAAGCCAUACAGGAAUUGGUGGUCUUGGGAUCAUCUGUGGCUAUUGGUCAGUUACCUGAUGUCUUGUAUUUGUUAGAGGUGAACAGAAGGAUUCUGUGACACUGCAUCCAGAGUUGACAUGUGAAUCCUUGUGGACUGACGAUCAAGUAUACAAUUUCUUGUAGCUGGGAAAGGUUGGCAUGAUGCCUCAUCCUGGAAGCAUUCAAGGGUUGAUGGGGCUGUGAGACAACCUGGUCCAAAGGGAGGUGUCCCUGUCUAUAGCAGGGGUUUGGAAGUAGAUGAUCUUAAAGGUUCCUUCCAACCCAAACCAUUCUAUGAUUCUAUGAUCUUUGUAGAGCCUUCAAACCCCACUGACCCAGUUUGCCUCCCUGUGUAUGCUGAAUAUAUUGAACCCAUACAUUCCUAGAAUCAUAGAACUUAUUGGGUUGAAAGGGACCUUAAAGCCCACCCAGUUCCAUGGGCUGGUUGCCCCCCACCAGCUCAGGCUGCCCAGGGUCCAUCCAACCUGGCCUUGAGCACCUCCAGGGAUGGGGCACCACAGCUCUCUGGGCAGCAGUGCCAGGGCCUCACCACUGAGUAAAGAAUCUCUUCCUAACAUCUAAAUCUCCCUUCUUUUGGUUUAAAGCCAUUCCCCCUUGGCCUCUCACUAUCAGACCAUGUAAAAAAGUUGGUCCCUCUCCUGCUAAUAAGCUCCUUUAAAUACAGGAAGGCUACAAUGAGAUCUUUCCGGAGCCUUCUCUUCUCCAAGCUGAGCAAGCCCAGAACUUCUGCCUUGAAUAAAUGUUUAUCUAGAAUGCAUGUACUUUACCAUAUAAGCAUUACACUACAGAUACUCUAUCUAUAUAUGCAUCUUUAUGUAUGUUUUAUUCAGCAACAUGAAAAAGAAUACUACAGCAGAUGAAGAUGUUGUUGCCUUAUGUAUGAGGAGCCCACCGUAACUAUCUGUGGUCCAUUGGGCUCCAGAAUCUUCUACUACACUUAGUUUUUCUUGCCACUGUUUGUAGUAGGGAAAGGUCUUGAUCAAAUUCAUGGCCCCUGUUGUGGAAAGUCUUCCUGUGCCACAAUGAAUUUAAAUGAAAGUCUGCAUGAAUAGCUAGUAUACAGUCACUGCAAAAUAGAACAAACCAGCUGCACAAUGCCAAGAAUUGUCAGGGCAUGUGGUUUGGAAAACACUACAAUGUAAGUUUAUAGCUGCAGCUCAAUUCAUUUCCUGAGAGGAAAGAUAAUGCUGUAGAAGAAUAGACACUAUACGGUCCCUCUUUAUGUGGCAUUCAUCCGUUAGAAAGUUUAUUUCAUUGGCAUUCUUGUAGAUGUCAAACUGCUAAACGCAAGGCUGCAGCACAAAGAAAUUUCUUAAAUUACUGGGGGAAUAAAUUAGCUCUUAUAACAUGCUUUGAAAUUUCAAUUGCGUUCUGUAGCAAAAAGCAAGUCCCCGAGUGUGUAUAGAAUCCCAUUCCACGGACCAUUGUUUCCUUCCUGCUGCU
ensembl:lncRNA